rnacentral:rRNA from 1 species
GAUGAACGCUGGCGGCGUGCUUAACACAUGCAAGUCGAACGGAAAGGCUCCUGCUUGCAGGGGUACUCGAGUGGCGAACGGGUGAGUAACACGUGGGUGAUCUGCCCUGCACUUCGGGAUAAGCCUGGGAAACUGGGGCUAAUACCGGAUAGGACGAUGGUUUGGAUGCCAUUGUGGAAAGUUUUUCGGUGUGGGAUGAGCUCGCGGCCUAUCAGCUUGUUGGUGGGGUAAUGGCCUACCAAGGCGUCGACGGGUAGCCGGCCUGAGAGGGUGUACGGCCACAUUGGGACUGAGAUACGGCCCAGACUCCUACGGGAGGCAGCAGUGGGGAAUAUUGCACAAUGGGCGGAAGCCUGAUGCAGCGACGCCGCGUGGGGGAUGACGGCCUUCGGGUUGUAAACUGCUUUCGCUAGGGACGAAGCGCAAGUGACGGUACCUGGAGAAGAAGCACCGGCUAACUACGUG